GAUCACCAGAACUUUGUGGCAGGAUUUUGUCUCCACCCAUCAAGUGGAUGAAGGAGGCCACUGAAGUCUGCUCCGGUAAAACUGAACCUGCUAAUUAUAUCGCAGUUUACAAGAAGCAGGAAAUACUCCCCAUUUAUCAGCUUGCCUGGGUUUCAUCAUGUGGUAAAUGCAAGAAGUGGAACUUUCCGGAAAGUCUGACUACAUUCCCCUACUUGAACUUACAGGACAGCACCUGCUUGGGGACCCUGCUGGGCAGCUUGGGCCUUUUGUCCUCCACCUGUGUCCAGCUAUUGGCAUUAGGCUGUGAUAAACACUGAUUCAAGGCUGAGGGACUGGCUGCCUUCCAGCAUCCCAUUGUGUAUGCCCUUCCUUUUAUUUAGCGUUCUGUUUCUGUAAUUACUGAUGUUGUUGCAUCUGAUCAAGAACCCAGGUGUGCCACCUCUUGCAAGUCUGUGUCAUCUUGAAGGUUCAAGAAUCCACAGUUGGAACAGAGGAGUAGAGGAAGAAGGAAAGAAUAUUUAUUGCCUUGACUUCAAAAUACGGUGAAAGAAAUUUGCAAAAUGCAGAAGGUUAAAUGAUUGCAGCAACUCCUGGACUGUUUCAUCAUGGUUUGUCUUACAUAUCACCUCAUGCUGUAUGGAGAUGGAUCCCUAUUUAUCAGAGAUGAGAAGCAGAACACGGCUCACGUUGACUCCCCACCUUGCUCUUAUCAGACUGCUUCUGACAGAUGAAACAACAGGAAGUUUUGCUGGGAGCUGUUGAUGGCUGGGGUUAAACAGCAAGUAGUGAGCGGUUUAGAAACCUCAUAAAACCAAGCAUUGACCUUGCCUCCACUGCAAUGUGGUAGGGUCUAGGGUAAAAAUAGGACAAGUGUAUAUCAAAAGCAAGCUGCUGGGUUUGGGUUUUUCUCCUGCUUUAUUCUCCAGAAAGUGUCUUUUGUCUUGUAGGGUGCACUGUGUCCUGGCUCAUACUGCCCAGGUGCACACCUAAGUAUUUCUGCAGAGAGAAGGCAUGUUGGAGAACAAUGCAGUCGUAGUUUAAUACAAGCAAGGUGUCACUAAUAAGUUUCAAGGUACAGGUUAAAGUACAAAUGAAUCCUUGCUAGGUGCUCUCUGCUAUUUGUUUAUUUUAGGACCCUGACUUUCAGGGCUUAGGUUUAUCUGGAUGGAACCACCAGUAGUGAGUCAUUCAUUCCUCAGUUCAACAAAUCUUUAUUGAAUGCUCUGCACUAUCCCAGGCACUCAGGACUGUGAGAAGUAGUCCUGAUAGUCAUAACUCCUGAUGGUGUGGAUCUUGUAGAGAAGCUAUUGCUUUUAACCCUAACCAGUUAUUUCCUUAACCUUCCAUAAGACAAUUAAGCUGUACAGAAAAUGAUAUGCUUGAUUAUUUUCUCAAUUCUUUCAGGGAUGGAAAUAGUUGGUACCAUUCCAGAUGCAUAGGAGAUAAGUUAAUUCAUUGUAUGCAAUGGAUGCCUUAGACCAUUAGGGCUUAAUUGGCCCCGGUUGAUGAGGAUUUCUCAGAAGGACUAAGGUCCUAGCUUCUUAGAGACCCAACUACAACCUUGGUUAAAAUUAGCAUGAGGAGACAAGUUUACUAAUGAUUAUGAGAGUCACAAGACUCUUCCUACCUCCUACGCCACUGGCCUUGGAGAGAGAAAGGACAAACCAAAGUGGAUAGCUUCUCUUGAGAAAAAUAACUCCUAGUGUUGAGCCAGUUGGGUGAGUAGUAUUUCAUGGAGGAAGGUGCUGUUCAGAGGUGAUUGGUAACCAGGUAGUAAGAUAUAUUGAAUUUGUCUGGGCAGGAAGAAUGUGAAGCAGCUGAGAGUUGCUGGAGACUAAAGAAAGGUGAGGACCACACAGUUAAUAAGAACUGCUGUGAAUGAACAAGGCACUAGAAUCUCUUUAAAUGUUUUUGAAAUAUGCAAAUAAAGAUUGGCAUUCCCAUUUUGCUCA
rnacentral:lncRNA from 1 species